GAUGAAGAACGUAGCGAAAUGCGAUAAGUAAUGUGAAUUGCAGAAUUCAGUGAAUCAUCGAAUCUUUGAACGCACCUUGCGCUCCUUGGUAUUCCGAGGAGCAUGCCUGUUUGAGUGUCAUUAAUAUAUCAACCUUCUCUUUUUUGAGUUGUUUGGAUGUGGGGGUUUGCUGGCCUCUUAAAUGAUUCAGCUCCCCUGAAGUGCAUUAGCAGAACAACCUGUUCAUUAGCGUGAUAAUUAUCUAUGCUAUUGAAUGUGAGGGCAGUUCAGCUUUCUAACCGUCCUUGGACAAUUCAUCAUUAAUGUGACCUCAAAUCAGGUAGGACUACCCGCUGAACUUAAGCAUAUCAAUAAGCGGAGGA
rnacentral:misc_RNA from 1 species